AACGAACGCUGGCGGCAGGCUUAACACAUGCAAGUCGAACGAGAUCUUCGGAUCUAGUGGCAGACGGGUGAGGAACACGUGGGAACAUCCCUUUCAGUUCGGAAUAACGUUGGGAAACUAACGCUAAUACCGGAUACGUCCUUCGGGAGAAAGAUUUAUCGCUGAAAGAUUGGCCCGCGUCUGAUUAGCUAGUUGGUGCGGUAAUGGCUCACCAAGGCUACGAUCAGUAGCUGAUCUGAGAGGAUGAUCAGCCACAUUGGGCCUGAGACACGGCCCAACCUCCUACGGGAGGCAGCAGUGGGGAAUAUUGGACAAUGGGCGCAAGCCUGAUCCAGCCAUGCCGCGUGAGUGAUGACGGCCUUCGGGUUGUAAAGCUCUUUUGUCCGGGAAGAUAAUGACUGUACCGGAAGAAUAAGCCCCGGCAAACUUCGUGCCAGCCGCCGCAGUAA
rnacentral:rRNA from 1 species